UGGGGAAUUUUGGACAAUGGGCGAAAGCCUGAUCCAGCAAUGCCGCGUGUGUGAAGAAGGCCUUCGGGUUGUAAAGCACUUUUGUCCGGAAAGAAAUCCUUGGCUCUAAUACAGUCGGGGGAUGACGGUACCGGAAGAAUAAGCACCGGCUAACUACGUGCCAGCAGCCGCGGUAAUACGUAGGGUGCAAGCGUUAAUCGGAAUUACUGGGCGUAAAGCGUGCGCAGGCGGUUUGCUAAGACCGAUGUGAAAUCCCCGGGCUCAACCUGGGAACUGCAUUGGUGACUGGCAGGCUAGAGUAUGGCAGAGGGGGGUAGAAUUCCACGUGUAGCAGUGAAAUGCGUAGAGAUGUGGAUGAAUACCGAUGGCGAAGGCAGCCCCCGGGGGCCAAUACUGACGCUCAUGCACGAAAGCGUGGGGAGCAAACAGGAUUAGAUACCCUGGUAGUCCACGCCCUAAA
rnacentral:rRNA from 1 species